rnacentral:rRNA from 1 species
GACGAACGCUGGCGGCGUGCUUAACACAUGCAAGUCGAACGGAAAGGCCCUGCUUUUGUGGGGUGCUCGAGUGGCGAACGGGUGAGUAACACGUGAGUAACCUUCCCUUGACUUUGGGAUAACUUCAGGAAACUGGGGCUAAUACCGGAUAGGAGCUCCUGCUGCAUGGUGGGCGUUGGAAAGUUUCGGCGGUUGGGGAUGGACUCGGGGCUUAUCAGCUUGUUGGUGGGGGAGUGGCUUACCAAGGCUUUGACGGGUAGUCGGCCUGAGAGGGUGGCCGGCCACAAUGGGACUGCGGGACGCACCAGUCUCCUACGGGAGGCAGCAGUGGGGAAUAUUGUACAAUGGGCGCAAGCGUGAUGAGGAAACGCCGCGUGUGGGAUGACGGCUUUCGGGUUGUAAACCGCUUUCGCCUGUGACGAAGCGUGAGUGACGGUAAUGGGUAAAGAAGCACCGGCUAACUACGUG